AGAAUCAACGCUGGCGGCGUGCCUAACACAUGCAAGUCGAACGCGAAAAUCCCGCAAGGGAUCAGUAGCGUGGCAAACGGGUGAGUAACGCGUGGGCGACCUACCUUCGAGUGGGGGAUAACCUUCCGAAAGGAGGGCUAAUACCGCAUGACAUCCCGUGUUUGGAUACACGGACAUCAAAGCCGGGAUCGUAAGACCUGGCGCUUGAAGAGGGGCCCGCGUCCGAUUAGCUAGUUGGCGAGGUAAUGGCUCACCAAGGCUCCGAUCGGUA
rnacentral:rRNA from 1 species